UGGCUCAGUUGGUAGAGCAUGGUGUUUGUAAUGCCAGAGUUGUGGGUUUGAUUCCCAC
rnacentral:tRNA from 1 species